GAUGAACGCUGGCGGCGUGCUUAACACAUGCAAGUCGAACGGAAAGGCCCUGCUUUUGCGGGGUGCUCGAGUGGCGAACGGGUGUGUAACACGUGAGUAUCCCGCCCUUGACUUUGGGAUAACUCCAGGAAACUGGGGCUAAUACCGGAUAGGAGCUCCUGCUGCAUGGUGGGGGUUGGAAAGUUUCGGCGGUUGGGGAUGGACUCGCGGCUUAUCAGCUUGUUGGUGGGGUAGUGGCUUACCAAGGCUUUGACGGGUAGCCGGCAUGGGAGGGGGACCGGCCACAUUAGGACUAAGGGACGGACCAGUCUGCUACGGGAGGCAGCAGGGGAGAGUAUGGCACAGUGAGCGGGAGCCUGAUGCGACGGCGCCGGGUGCGGGAUGACCGGCUUCGGGUUGUGAACCGCUUUCGCCUGUGACGAGGCGUGAGUGACGGUAAUGGAUAAAGAAGCACCGGCUAACUACGUG
rnacentral:rRNA from 1 species